GAAUGGCUUGGGGGGGAGGUGCCUCGCCUGGCUCCUUCCCUCCGAGCUGUUCCUUAUCACGCCCAGUCUCAACGUAUCUAUAGUUUUGUAAAAAUGUUGUUCACCCUUUUUUGACUUUAUUAUCUGCAUACUAUAGAUGUACUUUCAUGGACCACUGAAAGGAGGAAAUGGCUCACAUGCUUUGCCCAAGAGUAUGAUAGGCAACAGGUUUUUAAUGGGCUGCCAGUAAGAAGGGAGAAUGUAUUUUCCAAAGCACCAGA